rnacentral:tRNA from 1 species
GUUCAGGUAGUUUAAUUAGAAUAAUAAUUUGUGGAAUUAUAGGUGUUAUAGAAUCUUGAAUC